AUAAGUAAAUACAUAAAUAAUUAGGAUUUUGUUCUUUUUACAUUUCUGUACGUAAUUCAAGUCUUCCUGGGGGUAAAAACUACUUACUCACUAAGGGAAUAAUUCAGUCAUUUCAAACCAUUUUUGAGGGUCUCUACUCAGCAGUUUGAUGUUGUGUAAUGAUUCAGGAUUCUUCUCUGUGACCCUGAUGGGCCAUUCCGAUUCCUAUUUAUAGAUGCUUAUCUCAAGACCUUCUGUGUGGGUAGUCUCAGAGCCCUUGGGACUGCCUUCGUCCACAACCUUGGGUUUGAGUCAUAUCACUACCGAAUUCUUCCCUCUGUUCAUGGAAAUCUGGUAACUACAUCAACGAGGUAUUUUCUACAGAACUGAUUGGGUUUUUUGUUUCUUUGCCUCAUAAGAUAUAAAAAUGUCUAAAGGCCCUGGAAUGUCACAGUAUUAAUAGCUGAUGUGUAUGGAAGGCCUACUAUGUACUGGGCAUAAUUCUAUGUGUUCUUCAUUUGUUAAUUCACUCAAUCCUUUUUUUUUCUUUUUUUUUUUUUUUGAGAUGGAGUCUCACUCUGUCGCCAGGCUGGAGUGCAGUGGCGCGAUUAUAUUCACCUAGAAGUUUGUGAACACUGUUCCUCUUUCAGUAAAAUCCAUGUUAUAGAUGCUGCUGGAUUUUAGGCAUCCAGAAAGGCCUGAGAUUGGCAGCUAUUUGUUGACAAUUCAAUGGGUAUAAAAGUUUCAGGCAGCAAAACUAAUGAAUGAUUUCCAACCACAGAAGCCGUCACUGGGAGAGCCAAUAAAGAUACGACAGAUCUGGCAGGAGAACAAGAUCCAGCCCAGGUGAUGGGGUGUGAGGCUUGGUCUUAGCUACAGGUAGGUCGUUUCCCUUAGCUCCUGGAUGACUCAGCUUGGCAGCCACCCAGACUUCUAUCAGGACCCAGAGGUGCUGCCAGCUCUGGAGCCAUGUCAGGCCAGCUUUCUCCCCAUGUCACCAGGGAAUGGAGAUUUUUCUGGUCUGCUGGGGCUUUUCCUAAUUCUGCACGGUCGGCUUGAGACUGUCCACCUGUUGCUCCAUCUAGGCUGCGUUGCCCUUAUGAGCCGUCUUCACAAGGAGACGCUGGUCUGAAAAGAAGGCAACGCAAGGAAGAGAACAGAGCCAAGGCACCUGCAGCGAGCCAGAGCCAGAGCCCUGACAUCACAAAUGCUUUAAUUGGUUCCAUUUAUUGUUUAAUCCACUUGAAAUUGAAUUUCUGUCAUCCCCGACUGGAAGUGUACUGACCUGCAUACUACCUGUGUUUCCUCACAGCAGGCUGAAAAGCUGUGCCAAUAUUGAGCUCAUCCAGAAUUAGACGAAGUUUGUAUUCUUUUUAUUACUUCCUUUAACCCUGAAUCAGGGUCCAGAAGCAUUUUGUUGACCAUUAACUCUUCUCUGUGAAUAAAGCAGCAUGAGGAACAACCUCUUUUAUUCACAGAGCAAAGCUCUUCGCUGCUCAGCCACAGCGGCUUCAACUCUGGCACGGGUCCUGAAGUGCCAUUUCUAGCACAUGACUCACAAAGUAAAUAAUCUGUAAAUGAAAAGCCUCUUAUCAUACUUUGGCACGAAAAACAAAGCGACAAGCCAGGCAGCAUUUUUCCCUCAUAUUUGAACCCCACAUGCACCAAGGGCUGUUUUAUGCCUUGCACAUGAGGAGUUUGGUUUGCUCAAAAGCAAAGUAUUGGCUAACAUGUGUGUGCACUAGUAAUUGCAUUUCUGCUUUGUGUGCUCUGUUAUCUGAUAGAGGAGCUUUGUCAAUAUCCUUUGGAUCUCUCUCCAAGCACAGUCUUCAUUAUGAUCUGUGAGCUGAUUUACGGUCUUCUUGGCAAUUUUACGACUGAUAUCUAGGUGCAUUUGCUAAGAGGACAGCAAUUUAGAAUGAUGUUUCUGUAGCUUUAGUCUCCUCCGCACCUUUAAUAAGAAGAAUAAUCAAUUUUACAUUAGAAAGUUAUUUUGUGCUUAUUCUGGAAAAAUGGAAUUGGUUGCUUUUUCUAAAGAUAAUGAGAAACACUUUUUAUGGCUCCAGACUACUAUAUAUCAGCAUUUUCAUUUUAACAGUAAUAUAUCGAGGACUAGGGGCAAAUGGAUUGCUUGUCCAAUAAAUGAAAUGUUCAAGUAUUCCUCACUGAACUUAGACUCACAAUUUUCAUUUAUGGUUGCAUGUGUAAAAUCACCACUCAAGAACUUGUUUGUCCUUGAAUAUAUAGUUUUGUAUUUCCAUAGUUAUAUUGCAGAACCAUUUACUCAUUAUGUUUACAGUGCCCUUCUGAGGAUUUAUGCUGCCAUUUUCAUCAUUACUUUGCAUUUUAUAGAACCUCUUUUUAGUCAUUGAUCCAUUUUGGUGAAUUGGAGAUACAGUGUGACAUAUCUACUACAAUAACCAUGAAAAUUAAAAAAUAACAGACAUAAACUAUAACUUGCAAGCGAGAAGCCCUAUGUGAAUAUGAUUUAUUAAUACUUUGUUUUAAGUCUCUUUCCCCUGGUUCUCACCUAUUGAAGCUUUUUGCUUUUCUGUCAGCCAAGAGGUGCCAGGUAGGUAAGGAGCAUACUGGGUAACUGUGUACUCCGUGCCCAGGCCUACUCAUGCCUCUGUGGGCUGGGCACUGAUGCAAACUUCUGCCAGGCAUGGCCCUCUUAAGUGGACAGGGGAUAGAAAAAUAACCUAGAAAUGAUGACAAAUGUGGCUUCUUUCCAAUGAUCACAUCUCUUCCCUUUUCCUUGGCUUACUUAUUGGUUCAGACCUUCACAAAGAAGUUGACCAAGUGCAGUGACAGGAUGAUGUGCUGGUCAUCAUCCUGUCGCUACACUGAAACAUCCCUUUCUCCCUUUUUGGGCCCAUGGUGGAGUCAGGCUUUCCCGCAUCAUUGAGGUUAGGUGUGAACACGUGAUUUGCUUUGGCCAAUGAAAUGGGAGUGAAAGUGACACAUCCCUGCCAGGUACAAGCUUUAACGGCCAGGGAACAACGUGCGUCAUCACUGCCUUGACCCUGUGGUCAAUGUUCCAGACAGGGGUCUGUGUCAGCCUGUGUCCCUUAGUGAGGACUGGGUAUAGACUGCCCCUCUCCACUUCAUGGAUAUUUAACUUAAGCAAGAAAAAGGCUUCAUGAACUUAGGCCACUGAGAUCAUGGAGGUUUGUUCCUGUAGCAUAACCCAGCCUCUUCUGUCCAAAACAAGUGGGUACACAAAUCCAAAAAGGACAGAAAUCCCUUUGCCCAGUUCCCUUCCUGAGAGCUGACACUGACUGGCACCCAGCCUCAGCCCCAAGCCCAGGGCCCUCGUUUAUAGACACUCAUCUGUGUCCAAGUUUUGUUCUUCUAGUUGCCAUUCUUCCAUUUUCUCUUUGCCAGUAACACACAAAAAAUGAGAGAUUUUCUCAGUAUUGGUAUGGAUUUUCAAUUAACAACAACAAAAACAACAAAA